UGGGGAAUUUUGGACAAUGGGCGAAAGCCUGAUCCAGCAAUGCCGCGUGUGUGAAGAAGGCCUUCGGGUUGUAAAGCACUUUUGUCCGGAAAGAAAUCCUUGGCCCUAAUACAGUCGGGGGAUGACGGUACCGGAAGAAUAAGCACCGGCUAACUACGUGCCAGCAGCCGCGGUAAUACGUAGGGUGCAAGCGUUAAUCGGAAUUACUGGGCGUAAAGCGUGCGCAGGCGGUUUGCUAAGACCGAUGUGAAAUCCCCGGGCUCAACCUGGGAACUGCAUUGGUGACUGGCAGGCUAGAGUAUGGCAGAGGGGGGUAGAAUUCCACGUGUAGCAGUGAAAUGCGUAGAGAUGUGGAGGAAUACCGAUGGCGAAGGCAGCCCCCUGGGCCAAUACUGACGCUCAUGCACGAAAGCGUGGGGAGCAAACAGGAUUAGAUACCCUGGUAGUCCACGCCCUAAACGAUGUCAACUAGUUGUUGGGGAUUCAUUUCCUUAGUAACGUAGCUAACGCGUGAAGUUGACCGCCUGGGGAGUACGGUCGCAAGAUUAAAACUU
rnacentral:rRNA from 1 species